rnacentral:lncRNA from 1 species
CUUUGAGAAAUAUACCAGCUGUUAUUAUGUCCUCUGAACAUGUUUCUUCAAGGAUCAAUGGUAAGAAAUUUUUUACAUUUUACUCAAGCCCGUGUACUAUUAUGUAUUGAGCUGUCUCAUCUAAGUAGGAUGGUAACGGGAGGGCUCCGUCAGGUAAUUUCCCAUCUUGUACCUGUCCCGGUCGUUACCCAUUUAAGGCAAGAUGGGGCCCGUGUCCCAUUUACUACCAGUUUAAUUAUUAUUUUUUAGUUUUGAUAAGUUAUCUUAUUGUCCACAUGCAUUAAAAUGAGAUAAUAAUCUAUUUAUUAAUUUUUGUACUUUUUUAUUUAUUUUUAAAAGUUAAAUUAUUUAAAUAUAUUUGAUAAACCAAGGGUUUUAUUGUUUGUCUCAUUUCUUAAAUAAUCUUAAUUGCCAUUUUUUAUUAGAACUAAUGAAAUUUCGUAGAAUUUUUCAUUUAAAGUAUUGAAUUCUUCAAAAACAAAUAAUUAUAAUAAAUGGGGCAGGACGGGGCCUUUGUUACCCGUACCCACUCCUUACCCUCCCGGGGCGAAGUCUCCCAUCCCCAACCCAAAUACUCGAUUAAGCGGGUGAUCCCCGCCCAGCCAACUCAAGACAGAUCCCCGCGAGAAUCGGAUUUGACAGAUUCUUUUGCUAUCCCUACAUCUAAGAUUUUUUCCCCUUUAUUAAAAGUCUGACACACCCAUAAUUUUCAUAAAUGAAUAGUUGCUCUGAUAUUAUAUUGAACUUCAGCAUGACUUGGCGGGAUAAUAUUUGUUGAUCGAAUGUAUGAGACAGAUGCUUAGAGGAAGGAGCAGAAGAAUUUUUGCUAAAGCCAGUGAAGAGGUUAGAUGUAAUCAAGCUUAAGAAGCACAUUAUUACAAGAAAAUGCAAUGAAAAGCCUGAGAAACAGGAUGAAAAGAAAGAAGAAUCAACAGAAGCAUCUGAAAAUAAUCAAUUACAAACACCAUGGAAAUCCAUGGAUGAAGAGAGAACAAGGCCCUAACACACUGUGCUGUCCANUUAAUCAUUGGAAAUUUAUUAAUGUUUUUUUUUUCUUUUUUCGAUUUAAAAUGUUUCUUGACCUUUCUUAGCUCUUCUCGUUCAUCUUUUUGCUGCUGCUUAAAGAUUUUAAAUAUUAACGGACUUGUACAGAGAGGAAAGGAAAAGGAGAGCCGUUCAUCACAUUAUGAUGAAGAAUCAAUCUACAUGUACAAGGGAAAAUUUUAUAAAAGUGUAACAG